rnacentral:rRNA from 1 species
UAUACGAUUUCCUUAGUAGCGGCGAGCGAACAGGGAAAAGCCCAGCACUGAAGCCCGUAAUCGGUAACGGUUACAGAGCAAUGUAGUGUUUGGGAGAGCCCGUUUAACCUAAGCAAUAUAUAAGUGAGUUCAAGUCCUUCUUGAAGGGGGCCAUUUUCCCAUAGAGGGUGCUAGGCCCGUAGUAACCAUUUAUAUGUUUAGGUGGGUUUCUCCUUAGAGUCGGGUUGCUUGAGAGUGCAGCUCAAAGUGGGUGGUAAACUCCAUCUAAGGCUAAAUAUGACUACGAAACCGAUAGCGAACAAGUACCGGGAGGGAAAGUUGAAAAGAACUUUGCAGAGAGAGUUCAAGAGUACGUGAAACUGUUCAGGGGUAAACCUGUAAUACCCAAAUAGUUCGAAAGAGGUGAUUCAUUUGUCUAUCCGUAUAUAACCAUAUUUCAGUAUAUAGACAUUUAUAAAUCAUUUACGAUUUUUAAUCGUAUUUGUUAUAUUAUAUAUGCUAUUCUGAUUUAUGUAUAGUUUAUAUUCGGUGGCAUGCACUUCAUCUCUAGUAGAGCGUCGUAACUCAUUAGAUAUAUUUAUUAUAAUUUGGUGUUUAAGGUUCACAAUGGAGACCGUGGCGUUCAUUUUAUUUUUUAUUAAAUAUUAUGUGCGACCCGGACUUGUGUUAUCCUGACACUCUAUCUGAUGGUAUAUAUAUGAAAAUGUAAAUCACUAUAAUAGUGUUAUUAUUACUAUAACAAAUAUUUAAUAUUGUUUUGUAAAAAAUGGAUAAUGAUGCCGUUUUUACGCAUAUUGUAUUGUUGGUUAUAGUAUACUUGAACUGAUUUGAUCUAACAUUUGUUUACGACGUAUAUGUAUUGGGUAAUUACAGGACCCGUCUUGAAACACGGACCAAGGAGUCUAGCAUGUACGCAAGUCAUUGGGUAUAUAUAAUAUUUUUACUUGUAAAAAUUUAUAUAUAUUAAACCUAAAGGCGAAAUGAAAGUGAAAUUCUCAAUUUAUUUUGGGAUAAGGGAAGAUGGGUAAUAAUAAAAAUAUUACCUCGCACUCCCUGGGCGUCACAUAUAACUUAUUGCAAGUUGUGGCGCACCAAGAGCGUAUACGCUGGGAC